rnacentral:sRNA from 1 species
UGCUCCCAGAACCAUCCUAUGCUAACUACUGGUCUGGGCUGCGUGUUUGACUGAAAAUGUCAUGUUUCCGCCUAUGGUGAUGGCCACAGACGGAGGGAGCCUUUCAGCCUGGGUUCCUGGGAAAAGGAGGAGAAGGACAUUAAUUGGUACUGUCUGUCAGGUUUCCUUCUUAUAACCAAGAAGCCAAGAAACCCACUCGUGAAGAGGAAGGCCCUACCAUGGCUGCGGGUGACACGUGCCUUCGGACCUAAAAGACUCAUCUCUCCCAGCAUCGUCACCCUACAGACCAAGCUGUCACCACGUGAGCCUUAGGUGACAUUUAACAUCCAGAAUUUCUCUGCUUAGAGGGAGCAGAGCUGGGUGACUUCCCAAAGAGACAUGACAGCUGAGAGGACGUGGGACCACAAACAAUGUCGACCCGAGGUACGACACAGUCUGAUUGGGACCAACAUGGUCUCAUUCCAAAGUGUUUUGAGUCAGCAAUGAGGUAAACUUUUUGUUUGUUUUUCUGUUUGUUUUGCUUGUUUUUCUGUUUGUUUUGCUUUUUGUAUUUGAAUCAGGGACCAAGUCCUGGUCAGCGUUCCUUGUAGCUGUCUUAGGAACCCAAGAAGAGAAUCUGGCUGAGGAAAAACGCCGACAUUAAAGCCAUAAAACUGGAUAUGAAUGAACUUCCGGAUCAAGCUGUACCUAAAAGUCUGGCUUUCCAGUACCGUGUGACAUUAAAGACCCCUUGGGAGUUGAGCAGGGUUUUCUAAA